UACGUAGGUGGCAAGCGUUGUCCGGAAUUAUUGGGCGUAAAGCUCGCGCAGGCGGUCCCUUAAGUCUGAUGUGAAAGCCCCCGGCUCAACCGGGGAGGGUCAUUGGAAACUGGGGAGCUUGAGUAUAGGAGAGGAAAGUGGAAUUCCACGUGUAGCGGUGAAAUGCGUAGAGAUGUGGAGGAACACCAGUGGCGAAGGCGACUCUCUGGUCUAUAACUGACGCUGAGGCGCGAAAGCGUGGGGAGCAAACAGG
rnacentral:misc_RNA from 1 species